GUUGUGCUCUUGCCACACCCCCAAUUGUGGCCCCUGCUCUGCCUGGAUUGUACCUGUCUUUGAGGUUUUGGAUGUUUUUCAAUGGUGCAGAACUGGGGAAGCAUUGAUCUGGUAUCUUGUUCUUUUGAUAAUGAUUUGUCAUGGACCAGCAACACUUGUCUUGGUGGCACUUUACUAAACCCAGUAAGCAAAGAAUGUAUUAUAUGUGAACCUCAAUACUGGACUGGAAGUAGACUGGGAGGAUCACAUACGGGCUCAUGGCAAGUUGCACACAAUAUUUGUUUAUCCAAAUGACAAAUAUCUUGGCAAACAUGACAAAACUAACAGCCAAUAAAGGCUUACACUUUCAACUAAGAAUGGAAACUCCGGCUGCUAUGAAGUGUCACCCUUCAACAUACUGAGCUAGAGAUUACUGCAUGAAGAUGCAACCUAUAGUUGGCAAUAUGGUUGCAGAUGUGAUUUUCAAGCUAAGAGUAAAAGAUUAAGCAAAAAGGACAUAAG